AUUGAACGCUGGCGGCAUGCCUUACACAUGCAAGUCGAACGGCAGCACGGGAGCUUGCUCCUGGUGGCGAGUGGCGAACGGGUGAGUAAUACAUCGGAACGUGCCCUGAAGUGGGGGAUAACGUAGCGAAAGUUACGCUAAUACCGCAUAUUCUGUGAGCAGGAAAGCAGGGGAUCUUCGGACCUUGUGCUUUAGGAGCGGCCGAUGUCGGAUUAGCUAGUUGGUGAGGUAAAGGCUCACCAAGGCGACGAUCUGUAGCGGGUCUGAGAGGAUGAUCCGCCACACUGGAACUGAGACACGGUCCAGACUCCUACGGGAGGCAGCAGUGGGAAUAUUGCACAAUGGGGGAAACCCUGAUGCAGCAACGCCGCGUGAAUGAUGACGGCCUCGGUGUAAGUACUUUGAUUGGGACGAAAGUAGAGUACCCGAAAAACAAACGACCACGACGUAACUAACGUACGACCGACGCAGCCCGCGGUAACGUAGACGUACGUAACGACUA
rnacentral:rRNA from 1 species